rnacentral:rRNA from 1 species
CCUACGGGAGGCAGCAGUGGGGAAUAUUGGGCAAUGGGCGCAAGCCUGACCCAGCAACGCCGCGUGAAGGAAGAAGGCUUUCGGGUUGUAAACUUCUUUUCUGGGGGACGAACAAAUGACGGUACCCCAGGAAUAAGCCACGGCUAACUACGUGCCAGCAGCCGCGGUAAUACGUAGGUGGCAAGCGUUGUCCGGAUUUACUGGGUGUAAAGGGCGUGUAGCCGGGCUGACAAGUCAGAUGUGAAAGCCGGGGGCUCAACCCCCGAACUGCAUUUGAAACUGUUGGUCUUGAGUAUCGGAGAGGCAGGCGGAAUUCCUAGUGUAGCGGUGAAAUGCGUAGAUAUUAGGAGGAACACCAGUGGCGAAGGCGGCCUGCUGGACGACAACUGACGGUGAGGCGCGAAAGCGUGGGGAGCAAACAGGAUUAGAUACCCGUGUAGUC